AUACUUACCUGGUACAGAGAAUACCGUGAUCAAUCAGGCGGUUUCUCC
rnacentral:snRNA from 1 species